rnacentral:rRNA from 1 species
UACGAAGGGGGCUAGCGUUGUUCGGAAUCACUGGGCGUAAAGCGCACGUAGGCGGAUUUGUUAGUCAGGGGUGAAAUCCCGGGGCUCAACCUCGGAACUGCCUUUGAUACUGCAGAUCUCGAGUCCGGAAGAGGUGAGUGGAAUUCCUAGUGUAGAGGUGAAAUUCGUAGAUAUUAGGAAGAACACCAGUGGCGAAGGCGGCUCACUGGUCCGGUACUGGCGAUGAGGUGCGAAAGAGUGGGGAGCAAACAGG